GCAGUCAUGGCUUAAUGGUUAGAGAAUUGGACUUAUAACCUGAAAGUCAUGGGUUUGAGUCUCAGGUCCUGCA